UACAGAGACCCCGAGCGUUAUCCGGAUUUAUUGGGCGUAAAGAGUCUGUAGGCGUUCUAGCAAGUCUUCCGUCAAAUUCCGGAGCUCAACUCCGUAACUGCGAAAGAUACUUCUAGAAUAGAGGGUGGGGGAGGUAGAUGGAAUUGCCGGUGUAGCGGUAAAAUGCGUUAAUAUCGGCAAGAACACCAAAUGCGAAGGCUUUCUACUAAAACACUCCUGACGCUGAGAGACGAAAGCGUGGGUAGCGAAUGGGAUUAGAUACCCCAGUAGUCCACGCCGUAAACGAUGGAUGCUUGACAUUGGAAGUUUCGACCCUUUCAGUGUCGCUUAACCAAGUUAACACCUUAAGCAUCCCGCCUGGGGAGUACGGCCGCAAGGCUAAA
rnacentral:rRNA from 1 species